GUAGUUGAAUUUUAGCCCUGGCUGGGUGGUCCACCAAUUGGCUGGCACUGCUCUGGCUGGGGUUCACUUUCUGGCGAGCCGUCAUGCCCUUUACUGGGUGUGACGGGGAGCUAGGACUUUUACUUUGAAAAAAUUAGAGUGUUUAAAGCAGGCCUACGCUUGAAUACAUUAGCAUGGAAUAAUAGAAUAGGACCUCGGUUCUAUUUUGUUGGUUUCUAGGACCGAAGUAAUGAUUAAUAGGGAUAGUUGGGGGCAUUAGUAUUUAGUAGCUAGAGGUGAAAUUCUUGGAUUUACGAAAGACUAACUUCUGCGAAAGCAUUUGCCAAGGAUGUUUUCAUUAAUCAAGAACGAAAGUUAGGGGAUCGAAGACGAUCAGAUACCGUCGUAGUCUUAACCAUAAACUAUGCCGACUAGGGAUCAGACGAUGUUAAUUUACUGACUCGUUUGGCACCUUAUGAGAAAUCAAAGUUUUUGGGUUCCGGGGGGAGUAUGGUCGCAAGGCUGAAACUUAAAGGAAUUGACGGAAGGGCACCACCAGGAGUGGAGCCUGCGGCUUAAUUUGACUCAACACGGGGAAACUCACCAGGUCCAGACAUAGGAAGGAUUGACAGAUUGAGAGCUCUUUCUUGAUUCUAUGGGUGGUGGUGCAUGGCCGUUCUUAGUUGGUGGAGUGAUUUGUCUGCUUAAUUGCGUUAACGAACGAGACCUUAACCUGCUAAAUAGUUAUGCCAACAUUCGUUGGUAGCCAACUUCUUAGAGGGACUGUCGGCGAUUAGCCGACGGAAGUUUUAGGCAAUAACAGGUCUGUUAUGCCCUUAGAUGUCCUGGGCCGCACGCGCGCUACACUGAUGAAGUCAACGAGUUUAUAACCUUGGCCGGAAGGU
rnacentral:rRNA from 1 species